UACGAAGGGUGCUAGCGUUGUUCGGAAUUACUGGGCGUAAAGCGCGCGUAGGCGGCCAUUCAAGUCGGGGGUGAAAGCCCAGGGCUCAACCCUGGAAUUGCCUUCGAUACUGUUUGGCUAGAGACCGGAAGAGGUAAGUGGAACUGCGAGUGUAGAGGUGAAAUUCGUAGAUAUUCGCAAGAACACCAGUGGCGAAGGCGGCUUACUGGUCCGGUUCUGACGCUGAGGCGCGAAAGCGUGGGGAGCAAACAGG
rnacentral:rRNA from 1 species